rnacentral:lncRNA from 1 species
AGUCAGGGAACAUCUGUCCCUUCUUCGUGAAUAUCUGUGUUCAAGUCUCUUGCUCAUUUGUUAAAUUGGGCUUUUCAUCUUAAUUUUCAUUUGCAGUUUUCUCCCCUAUAUCUGAGGUCUGAGUCCUUUGUGAGAACACACAGUGUGGUUUCUUGCCUGGCAUCCCAUUCCUUGCUUGUCCAUUUUCAAGAGCAGAACAUUUUCACUUUGAUGGAAGCCCAAUGUUUCUUCUAUGACACAGGUGGUGGCCAGACCUGGCACACGGAUGCAGCUGACCCUGGAAGCUGAAGGACAAUGAAACCCAUCUGAUUAAGAUGCUCAACUUUUCUGAAGAAAAAGCUGACACCAAGACCUGCCUAAGGUCACACCAUCAUGAGUGGCUGAGUUGGGCUGUGAUGAGCCACCUGGCUGGAGAGCUCGUGCCCUGGUUACACGACUGCCAGUGAGAUGCCUAUGGACUCAUGCAUGUAGAGGUGUGUACCCAGACAGCUCAGAGUGAGAUGCCUGCAGGCCCAGCAUGCAGAGGUGUGUACUCAGUGCUGUGUGAGAUGCCUGUGGGCCCA